rnacentral:misc_RNA from 1 species
AUCAUGAGUUUCUCUAUUAAUGGAUCCAUAAAUCUCAGAGCGCGCUGAGCUAGAUGACUUCAACGAUUGAAGAUUUCUCGAAACAGGUAAUUGGGAUUUGAGAGGUACGGAAAACAAUGGAAGUGAAAGCAAGGGCUCCUGGGAAAAUCAUUCUCUCCGGUGAACACGCAGUGGUGCACGGAUCCACUGCAGUCGCUGCGUCUAUUGAUCUCUACACCUAUGCCACUAUUUCUUUUCCCACCGCUGAGAAUGAUGAUUCACUGAAACUUCAGCUCAAGGAUGUGGCACUAGAAUUUUCAUGGCCAAUUGGGAGAAUCAAAGAAGCAUUAUCUAAUUUGGGUGCUCCUUCCUCUUCAACACCCACCUCUUGCUCAAUAGAAUCAGUUAAGUCAAUUUCAGCUUUGGUUGACGAACAAAAUAUCCCAGAGGCAAAAAUUGCACUUGCUUCGGGAGUAUCAGCCUUUUUAUGGUUAUAUACAUCUAUUCGAGGAUUUAAGCCUGCCACUGUAGUUGUCACUUCUGACCUUCCACUGGGUUCAGGCCUAGGAUCAUCUGCUGCAUUUUGUGUUGCCCUCUCAGCUGCUACUUGCUCUCUCAGACUCUGUAAAUGUGGACGCACAGCACCAAGGGUGGUCAAUGUUUGGGGAGCCUGACCUUGUAUUAUUAAACAACUGGGCUUUUGAAGGUGAAAAGAUAAUUCAUGGAAAGCCAUCUGGAAUAGACAACACUGUCAGCACAUAUGGCAACAUGAUCAAGUUCAGGUCUGGUAAUCUGACACGCAUCACGUCCAAAAUGCCGCUCAAAAUGCUUGUUACUAACACAAAAGUUGGGAGGAACACAAAAGCACUGGUUGCUGGCGUUUCAGAGAGAACUUUACGGCACCCGAAUGCCAUGAGUUUUGUUUUUAAUGCUGUUGAUUCUAUCAGUAACGAUCUGGCUAACAUCAUCCUGUCACCUGCUCCAGAUGAUGUGUCCAUAA